AAUAGUAACACAUGACAUCACCGCAGGGCGGUACCGUUGCCAAACCCUGUUCUGCCGUAAGUGCAUCAAUUCAUCUAGUCCCAGCAAUCGCCCCUAGGAGAUAGAGCCUAUUACUAUGCCUCUUCUCAGAUGCGAGCAACCCAGGCACAGAGAGCUCGAAAAGCAGCCCGAGACACUGGUGGGGCCAAACCCAGAAGGCCCAGCUGCAGAACCUACAUUCUCACCCGGCCGGCAGGUGCUCCUUGGGUGGGCUGGGGCCGCCGUGGGCUCCCUUGCCUACUUUCCUCUGAAAUGACUCAAAAUACUUAGCCACUGUAGUGAUGUUUCCUAGUUUUUUGUUUGUUUGUUUGUUUACAAAAUGUGAAUGAUUUUCCACCCCUGCGUUUACCAUCCUCAGUCUCCACACCCCAGAGCCGCCCCAUCCCAUCUCUCCAGGCAAGCGGGAGGAGCAACCAGACACGCCGGCCACUCCGUCACUGCCCAGCUGACCCACAGCCAUUCGGGCACUGGCUCACUCCCGUGGCGAACAGACACAACGCAAGAAGGCGCAGCCCCCAAAGCAAAUAUGACUCCACUGCACACCUGGACAGGUCGCGCGUCCCUCACGUUAAUUCUCAACAGGACUGCAAACAACUGAGAUCGCUGCAAAAUUUAACCUUUUCAUCGGCUCCAGAACCGAAUGAUCAAACACUUGGCCCCUUUCUCCAACUCACCAAACCAGCCAGAGUGCCCCGUGCGGGUCUGUGCUUCGCGCAAGUUCUCUCUCUGGCAGAUCCUUACCCAUUCCUUCCUUUCGAGCAUCCUCCAACUCCAGGAAGUUAACUGCUCCCCGGAAAGAUGGCAGCCUGGUUGCUGAUGAGUAGACAGUGACUUCAGGAAGGAAGCCUCCACACCGUGGGGAGGACCCUGCCUCUGAAUCUUAGCUCGGCCGUGUGCGUUCCUCAUCGAGGCUGUAGAUCGUGGGGAUCUACCUCCUGCGGCGGUUGCGGGAGCAAGGGGAGAUCCAGAAAAUGCCUCCAGCAGAACAGAGGCUCUCCUCUACGGUGUCCAGUUGCCGUGAUGGAGUUUAAAAUGUAGACACAUUUCACUUUAAAAAGAAGUGGGGGUGGGGCCGGUUGGGGUUUCGUUCAGACGCGCAGACUUCCUCUGUGCUCAUCAGCCGCGCUGCUGUGGCCAAAGGGAGGAGUCGUUCCUGCCGUGGACGGUCCCGGACCCUGCCCCGAGCAGCCGGAAGGAACACAGGACUCUACCUGAUAAGACAGGAGAACACCUACCUAGAAGGCACGUGAGGUUCAAAGGGCUUCCGGAGGAUUCCAGCACUACAGCACGGAGGCGGAAACCAGCAGCUGGAGGAUGGAGACGCGUCCGAGAGAGGUGAGAUGCCCAACAGCUUCAGGAUCCUGGGGAGAAAGUUCUGAGUGGUCUGACUUGAUCAUGAGCUCGCCCUCUAGGUAGGGCUGGCGCACGUGACAAAUAUCCCACCGGAACAUGAGGAGUAGGGUUGGGACCUGAAGGAGGAGUGCUGGCGCUGCAACAAGCCGGCGUGCUGGAUGGGCUUCUUCCUCAUCCCGGCCGCCCCGUGUGUACAUUCUGAUUUCCGUCAACACGGUUUCAGAAUGGACACCCAUCUCUCUAGGAUGGAGGGUGGCCCGAGUCCUACUGGCUGUCGCCUCUGGAGGGAGCGGAGCUACUCCUCUCUAACUGGGAAGCACCAGAGGAGGUUCAUGCCUCUCCCUCAGUGGGCUUGUGCUCCCAGGUGACCGCGGACAAGAACCUGAGUGGCUGUUUCAUCACAGCUCACCGUGCUCUGCUGUUCCCCGGGACUGGGAAGGGGAGGCUCACUGCUUUUCACAGUGACUGUCACCAAAAUUCUACAAAGGAAAGAUUGCUCGUCGGGCAAAUAGAAGAUGUGUCCCCUGUACUUGCUUACAGGGGAGACUGUGUGAGGACUCCCUUCCAGGGGGCUGGGGAUUCACUGCAGAACUAGAUGUUUUCUAAACACCCUGGUAACCGACACUCAGGGAUGCGUGGGGUUUCCAGUGUGUUUGGUCAGAGUGAAACCUAAUUCCUUAAUUUAUGGUCCCUCUGCUCUCUGCUAACACAGCGGCUCCAAGUUCAUAAUCCUUUCCGUCAAAUGACUUUCGGCUGCUUCAACACCCCUCACUGGCCAGACACCGGGGGCCGCCCCUGAGAUGCCAGGGGAGAGCGUCCACCAGUGCUGCCUGGGGGCAAUGAAAGGACUUAGAGCCCCCAGAAGCGCAGGCGCACACGCGGCCCGCCAGCCCAUGUGGUGGGAUAGAACGCAACCCUUCUCGUCGGGGUUUGGCUGGGCUGCGAGCACGAUGGCUUCCCCUCAUGCUAAAGAAAGACCACCAUCAGAAAGUGUGUAGUCGGUGUUCAGAUACCAUUCAAGCACCACUUAAGUUUUGCCAGGCUUGUGGACAUAGAAGAAUUUCCUUCCUUUUCCUUUUAAAUACCUUCUCCAUAAUGAUAAACGUUACCAGGGAGGGAGGAGUAUGCGAGAGAAAGUGUCCAGCCUGUUCGGAAGGACAAGUGAAGCUGUAGUCAUUUCACUUUAAAAAUAGCCCAUGGCUGCUCCCCUCAGCCACGCGGAAAGACGCAGCAGUCCAUACAUCACCUGCCUUACAGAGCGGCUCUCGCUGGAUGCCUGGGAACAGCCUCCAGGGCCUUACCUGCAUUUUGGAGGGCAGGGGAACUUAGUUGUUUGUUGCUAUUUUUAAUUUUUUUUCCAAGCCGGUUCUCAAAACAGAUUUCACCCUCCAAGGAAAACUUCUUGUUAUUUUAGAAGCAUCUUUCCCUGCAGCCAUGUGUAAAUCACAAUUGGUAAUCACCAGGGGUCAUGUCGUCAACACAGCCAAGAACGCCUUGGAGCUGAGUCAUAAGCCUGUGAUAUUAAUUACAGGGAGGAAUGUCACACUUGGGAAACGGGCUUAGAUCACGGAUUCUGACAUUGGAAUGUCUAGGAAUUUGGGUUUAGUUGGCGAAUAACAUUCCUCCUCAUUUAAAAUUUAAUAAAUAACGGCUUAGGGAAUCAAAUGAAUCUAUCUGCAUAGAAAAGCUCGCAGUGAUUGAACUUGGAGAGUGAGGGCGAGAAGCAGUCCCUCGGUUCCAGGGUUCCAGUCAGGCCCACCAGGAACCAGUGACCGUGACCGAAAGGAGCCUGACAGCUGCCCUCCCCUAGAGGCUGGCGCCUCCAACGCCAGCUGUCUCCUCCACAUGGCCGUCAGCUGCUUGGAAAUGGCACUUUUUAGAGGGACUUAGUGGUAACGAAUCAUGCUCCGAUUUUAGCAACAGCAGUUGACUGACAUUCAGGAAGGUAAUAAUGUUUCCCCAACAGAUUUCUAUUAGGAGAGAAUGUUUACCUGGUGGCCCUAUUCUGGGAUGGGGCACAAAGGGGGAAUUCCUUUCAUUCUUUCCCCCCAUUCCAGGGCAGGCUAAUCUGAGAAAUGCAUGUUUUCAUCUGCAGCUGUGGUGUCAUGGAUGAGGGAAAACAUGUGGCGGUAUCUCGGUCUCAGCCCGGGUGGAAAGCAGCAGAGAGGGCAGGGCGGUUCCAUGGGAAACCCGCCCUCCUGGGCUCCAGUUGGGGAUUGCAGGGAAGCCACAUCUCUAGGCUCUGUUGCCUUGGUCUGUUGGUGGGGGCGCGAGAACCCCUCUACCAUGCCCCGGGUUCUCUUAAAGGUCUUAAAGGCAGAGCACAUGCAACGCUUUUGGACAUUACAGGGACUGUGUCGACGUUAUCAUUAGUUCAUUUGAGAGGAAUUUGGACCCUAGGAUAUGUGUGCAUCCAUAAAGUUACAGAAGAAAGUAAAAGCUCACUCCAUCCAUGUUUGCUGACAAAGUGAUACAGAUGUUCCUUCCCACUCUGAACACAUAAGGUACUGGGUAAAGUGUUUUCAAAUAUGCUUUUAAAAUGCAUGUGCAGCACAGGAGAGGAUACUUGCAAAUGUCUUCUCAGAUAAAGGGCUAGUAUCCAAAAUCUAUAAAGAACUUAUCCAGCUCAACACCCAAGGA